GAAGUCGGACAGACGGUCGCCGCGACGUGAGUCGGGGAGGAAAGUCCGAACUCCAGAGGGCAGCGUGCUGGGUAACGCCCAGGCUCGGUGACGGGACGGAAAGUGCAACAGAGAGCAAACCGCCGGUCGCGUGCUCGCCGCGGGCCACCUCGCGUAGCGCGUCACGGCGCGGCCGGUAAGGGUGAAACGGUGCGGUAAGAGCGCACCAGCGCCGGCGGCGACGCCGGCGGCUAGGCAAACCCCACGCGGAGCAAGACCGAAUAGGGGAGCGAUCGAGGCUGGCCCGGCCGAAGCUCCCGGGUAGGUUGCUGGAGGACGGGGGAGACCCCGCCCCUAGAGGAAUGACCGUCGCCUCGCUCGCGAGGCACAGAAUUCGGCUUAUGGACGACUUCGACG
rnacentral:RNase_P_RNA from 1 species